GGGUUGUGAGGUUAAGCGACUAAGCGUACACGGUGGAUGCCCUGGCAGUCAGAGGCGAUGAAGGACGUGCUAAUCUGCGAUAAGCGUCGGUAAGGUGAUAUGAACCGUUAUAACCGGCGAUUUCCGAAUGGGGAAACCCAGUGUGUUUCGUCACACUAUCAUUAACUGAAUCCAUAGGUUAAUGAGGCGAACCGGGGGAACUGAAACAUCUAAGUACCCCGAGGAAAAGAAAUCAACCGAGAUUCCCCCAGUAGCGGCGAGCGAACGGGGAGCAGCCCAGAGCCUGAAUCAGUGUGUGUGUUAGUGGAAGCGUCUGGAAAGGCGCGCGAUACAGGGUGACAGCCCCGUACACAAAAAUGCACAUGCUGUGAGCUCGAUGAGUAGGGCGGGACACGUGGUAUCCUGUCUGAAUAUGGGGGGACCAUCCUCCAAGGCUAAAUACUCCUGACUGACCGAUAGUGAACCAGUACCGUGAGGGAAAGGCGAAAAGAACCCCGGCGAGGGGAGUGAAAAAGAACCUGAAACCGUGUACGUACAAGCAGUGGGAGCACGCUUAGGCGUGUGACUGCGUACCUUUUGUAUAAUGGGUCAGCGACUUAUAUUCUGUAGCAAGGUUAACCGAAUAGGGGAGCCGAAGGGAAACCGAGUCUUAACUGGGCGUUAAGUUGCAGGGUAUAGACCCGAAACCCGGUGAUCUAGCCAUGGGCAGGUUGAAGGUUGGGUAACACUAACUGGAGGACCGAACCGACUAAUGUUGAAAAAUUAGCGGAUGACUUGUGGCUGGGGGUGAAAGGCCAAUCAAACCGGGAGAUAGCUGGUUCUCCCCGAAAGCUAUUUAGGUAGCGCCUCGUGAAUUCAUCUCCGGGGGUAGAGCACUGUUUCGGCAAGGGGGUCAUCCCGACUUACCAACCCGAUGCAAACUGCGAAUACCGGAGAAUGUUAUCACGGGAGACACACGGCGGGUGCUAACGUCCGUCGUGAAGAGGGAAACAACCCAGACCGCCAGCUAAGGUCCCAAAGUCAUGGUUAAGUGGGAAACGAUGUGGGAAGGCCCAGACAGCCAGGAUGUUGGCUUAGAAGCAGCCAUCAUUUAAAGAAAGCGUAAUAGCUCACUGGUCGAGUCGGCCUGCGCGGAAGAUGUAACGGGGCUAAACCAUGCACCGAAGCUGCGGCAGCGACGCUUAUGCGUUGUUGGGUAGGGGAGCGUUCUGUAAGCCUGUGAAGGUGUGCUGUGAGGCAUGCUGGAGGUAUCAGAAGUGCGAAUGCUGACAUAAGUAACGAUAAAGCGGGUGAAAAGCCCGCUCGCCGGAAGACCAAGGGUUCCUGUCCAACGUUAAUCGGGGCAGGGUGAGUCGACCCCUAAGGCGAGGCCGAAAGGCGUAGUCGAUGGGAAACAGGUUAAUAUUCCUGUACUUGGUGUUACUGCGAAGGGGGGACGGAGAAGGCUAUGUUGGCCGGGCGACGGUUGUCCCGGUUUAAGCGUGUAGGCUGGUUUUCCAGGCAAAUCCGGAAAAUCAAGGCUGAGGCGUGAUGACGAGGCACUACGGUGCUGAAGCAACAAAUGCCCUGCUUCCAGGAAAAGCCUCUAAGCAUCAGGUAACAUCAAAUCGUACCCCAAACCGACACAGGUGGUCAGGUAGAGAAUACCAAGGCGCUUGAGAGAACUCGGGUGAAGGAACUAGGCAAAAUGGUGCCGUAACUUCGGGAGAAGGCACGCUGAUACGUAGGUGAAGUCCCUCGCGGAUGGAGCUGAAAUCAGUCGAAGAUACCAGCUGGCUGCAACUGUUUAUUAAAAACACAGCACUGUGCAAACACGAAAGUGGACGUAUACGGUGUGACGCCUGCCCGGUGCCGGAAGGUUAAUUGAUGGGGUUAGCGGUAACGCGAAGCUCUUGAUCGAAGCCCCGGUAAACGGCGGCCGUAACUAUAACGGUCCUAAGGUAGCGAAAUUCCUUGUCGGGUAAGUUCCGACCUGCACGAAUGGCGUAAUGAUGGCCAGGCUGUCUCCACCCGAGACUCAGUGAAAUUGAACUCGCUGUGAAGAUGCAGUGUACCCGCGGCAAGACGGAAAGACCCCGUGAACCUUUACUAUAGCUUGACACUGAACAUUGAGCCUUGAUGUGUAGGAUAGGUGGGAGGCUUUGAAGUGUGGACGCCAGUCUGCAUGGAGCCGACCUUGAAAUACCACCCUUUAAUGUUUGAUGUUCUAACGUUGACCCGUAAUCCGGGUUGCGGACAGUGUCUGGUGGGUAGUUUGACUGGGGCGGUCUCCUCCUAAAGAGUAACGGAGGAGCACGAAGGUUGGCUAAUCCUGGUCGGACAUCAGGAGGUUAGUGCAAUGGCAUAAGCCAGCUUGACUGCGAGCGUGACGGCGCGAGCAGGUGCGAAAGCAGGUCAUAGUGAUCCGGUGGUUCUGAAUGGAAGGGCCAUCGCUCAACGGAUAAAAGGUACUCCGGGGAUAACAGGCUGAUACCGCCCAAGAGUUCAUAUCGACGGCGGUGUUUGGCACCUCGAUGUCGGCUCAUCACAUCCUGGGGCUGAAGUAGGUCCCAAGGGUAUGGCUGUUCGCCAUUUAAAGUGGUACGCGAGCUGGGUUUAGAACGUCGUGAGACAGUUCGGUCCCUAUCUGCCGUGGGCGCUGGAGAACUGAGGGGGGCUGCUCCUAGUACGAGAGGACCGGAGUGGACGCAUCACUGGUGUUCGGGUUGUCAUGCCAAUGGCACUGCCCGGUAGCUAAAUGCGGAAGAGAUAAGUGCUGAAAGCAUCUAAGCACGAAACUUGCCCCGAGAUGAGUUCUCCCUGACCCUUUAAGGGUCCUGAAGGAACGUUGAAGACGACGACGUUGAUAGGCCGGGUGUGUAAGCGCAGCGAUGCGUUGAGCUAACCGGUACUAAUGAACCGUGAGGCUUAACCUUACAACGCCGAAGCUGUU
rnacentral:rRNA from 1 species